GUUCGUAUAAAAGCGAUGGAUUCAACUGGAGUUCAUUUCCACAUCAUCCUGCGAUUCUGCCGGUGAAGUCCGACCGAGGUUCAGCGACGGUGAAGCAACAGCUCGCAUCUGAGAAGAACACCUAAAACCGAGUUGAUUGAAGGUUGUAACUUCAUAUCUAGGAUUUACCCUAUUUCCAAAUCAGACGAUCGACUCCAAGGUUUGAAUAACUAGAAUCGAAGAUUGAUUUAAGGUUAGAUUUCGACAUUUAUGUGAUUUUUUUCUUCUUUGGAACCG